UCUCUACUCUGAUUGAACGCGAACCGAAGGAAGAGGAACAUAAAUCGGAAGCCAUCCGAUUUUAGACGUUAAUCGGAGCUCUGAAAACCAAUUAAGGACUGACGUGGUUAAGUCUUGUGAAAAGUCUGAGAAUUGAUGAGAGCAUCAUGGAAGUUGAAGAAGAAAGCGAUUUCUCGGAUAGGGAUUUGACAGGUGAAUCUGAAAGCGAUUUCUCGGAUAUGGAUUUGACAGCACACAAAACAAAAACACCAAAGAGGGGGUUGACCAGGU
rnacentral:lncRNA from 1 species